CAGGCUGGUGAGUUUCACAACACAAGCAUGAUUCGUCCAGUAGAGAGAGAGAGAGAUAGAGAAAGAGAGAGCGGUGCAGAGCAGCCAGCCAUUGGAAGCUGUGGGUCUGCCCGGGACAAGGCGACCACCCUUGCAGCCUUCCCUGUGCCGGGCAGCAAAUUUUCUCGAGCUAGAGUACCACAAGAAACCAAAGCUAGUAGUAGACAAAGAACUGGUAGGGGCGUGCCUUUCGCGGCUUCCAAUAAAACCCCUGACUUGCUGCAAGCCCUUUGCCUUUUCCCCCCUCACAGCUUUGGUUG
rnacentral:misc_RNA from 1 species